AUCUAGAUAAAGAGUCCCAAAUAGGAUGAAACGCGCUUCCUGAAU
rnacentral:hammerhead_ribozyme from 1 species